CCCUUAGAUGUUCUGGGCCGUACGCGCGCUACACUGAUGAAUGCAACGAGCUCUACCCUUGACCGAAAGGCCCGGGUAAACUUGUGAAACUUCAUCGUGAUGGGGAUAGAUUAUUGCAAUUAUUAAUCUUCAACGAGGAAUUCCUAGUAAGCGCGAGUCAUCAGCUCGCGUUGAUUACGUCCCUGCCCUUUGUACACACCGCCCGUCGCUCCUACCGAUUGAAUGGUCCGGUGAAAUCUUCGGAUUGCUGACCAAGAUCCAGCAAUGGAGCUUGGUUGCGAGAAGUUGAUUAAACCUUAUUAUUUAGAGGAAGGAGAAGUCGUAACA
rnacentral:rRNA from 1 species